AGGCUGAGCUGUGAUGGGGAGAAGACAUUGUGUCUUCGAGUCGUUGAUUUCACACUGCCGAGAAAAGCCUCUAGAUAGAAAAUAGGUGCCCGUACCGCAAACCGACACAGGUAGUCAAGAUGAGAAUUCUAAGGUGAGCGAGCGAACUCUCGUUAAGGAACUCGGCAAAAUGACCCCGUAACUUCGGGAGAAGGGGUGCUCUUUAGGGUUAACGCCCAGAAGAGCCGCAGUGAAUAGGCCCAAGCGACUGUUUAUCAAAAACACAGGUCUCUGCUAAACCGUAAGGUGAUGUAUAGGGGCUGACGCCUGCCCGGUGCUGGAAGGUUAAGAGGAGUGGUUAGCUUCUGCGAAGCUACGAAUCGAAGCCCCAGUAAACGGCGGCCGUAACUAUAACGGUCCUAAGGUAGCGAAAUUCCUUGUCGGGUAAGUUCCGACCCGCACGAAAGGCGUAACGAUUUGGGCACUGUCUCAACGAGAGACUCGGUGAAAUCAUAGUACCUGUGAAGAUGCAGGUUACCCGCGACAGGACGGAAAGACCCCGUGGAGCUUUACUGUAGCCUGAUAUUGAAAUUCGGCACAGCUUGUACAGGAUAGGUAGGAGCCUUUGAAACGUGAGCGCUAGCUUACGUGGAGGCGCUGGUGGGAUACUACCCUAGCUGUGUUGGCUUUCUAACCCGCACCACUUAUCGUGGUGGGAGACAGUGUCAGGCGGGCAGUUUGACUGGGGCGGUCGCCUCCUAAAAGGUAACGGAGGCGCUCAAAGGUUCCCUCAGAAUGGUUGGAAAUCAUUCAUAGAGUGUAAAGGCAUAAGGGAGCUUGACUGCGAGACCUACAAGUCGAGCAGGGUCGAAAGACGGACUUAGUGAUCCGGUGGUUCCGCAUGGAAGGGCCAUCGCUCAACGGAUAAAAGCUACCCCGGGGAUAACAGGCUUAUCUCCCCCAAGAGUUCACAUCGACGGGGAGGUUUGGCACCUCGAUGUCGGCUCAUCGCAUCCUGGGGCUGUAGUCGGUCCCAAGGGUUGGGCUGUUCGCCCAUUAAAGCGGUACGCGAGCUGGGUUCAGAACGUCGUGAGACAGUUCGGUCCCUAUCCGUCGUGGGCGUAGGAAAUUUGAGAGGAGCUGUCCUUAGUACGAGAGGACCGGGAUGGACAUACCUCUGGUGUACCAGUUGUCGUGCCAACGGCAUAGCUGGGUAGCUAUGUGUGGACGGGAUAAGUGCUGAAAGCAUCUAAGCAUGAAGCCCCCCUCAAGAUGAGAUUUCCCAACUUCGGUUAUAAGAUCCCUCAAAGAUGAUGAGGUUAAUAGGUUCGAGGUGGAAGCAUGGUGACAUGUGGAGCUGACGAAUACUAAUCGAUCGAAGACUUAAUC
rnacentral:rRNA from 82 species